rnacentral:rRNA from 1 species
UACGUAGGGCGCAAGCGUUAUCCGGAAUUAUUGGGCGUAAAGAGCUCGUAGGCGGUUUGUCGCGUCUGCCGUGAAAGUCCCGGGGCUCAACUCCGGAUCUGCGGUGGGUACGGGCAGACUAGAGUGAUGUAGGGGAGACUGGAAUUCCUGGUGUAGCGGUGGAAUGCGCAGAUAUCAGGAGGAACACCGGUGGCGAAGGCGGGUCUCUGGGCAGUAACUGACGCUGAGGAGCGAAAGCGUGGGGAGCGAACAGG